GCAGGCGCUGGCCGACGCCGGCGACGACCCGGGGCUGCUGGCCCUGGUCCGCUACCAGCUGGCCUGGCGCGCCCUGGUCGUGCAGGGCGACUUCGCC
rnacentral:tRNA from 1 species